rnacentral:rRNA from 1 species
UUGAACGCUGGCGGCAUGCUUUACCCCUGCCAGUCGCACGGCAGCGCGGGCUUCGGCCUGGCGGCGAGUGGCGAACGGGUGAGUAAUGCAUCGGAACGUGCCCAGUAGUGGGGGAUAGCCCGGCGAAAGCCGGAUUAAUACCGCAUACGACCUGAGGGUGAAAGCGGGGGACCGAAAGGCCUCGCGCUAUUGGAGCGGCCGAUGUCGGAUUAGCUAGUUGGUGGGGUAAAGGCUUACCAAGGCGACGAUCCGUAGCUGGUCUGAGAGGACGACCAGCCACACUGGGACUGAGCCACGGCCCAGACUCCUACGGGAGGCAGCAGUGGGGAAUUUUGGACAAUGGGGGCAACCCUGAUCCAGCCAUGCCGCGUGCGGGAAGAAGGCCUUCGGGUUGUAAACCGCUUUUGUUCGGGAAGAAAUCCUCUGGGCUAAUACCCCGGGGGGAUGACGGUACCGGAAGAAUAAGCACCGGCUAACUACGUG